GGCAGGAGCAGUGGCCAUGUACAGUAUAUGUGAAGCUCUCUGGAGCACAGCAGUGUCAGGAGCUGCUGGAGGCUGAGGACAGAGGACUGAUCAACCACCUGAACAUCAAUAAGAGCAAAGCUCUUGGUAUUGGCUUCUUCCGUAGCUUCCCAAGGAUGAGGGAACUUCAAACUGAACCAGCCAGAGAGUGGGAGGAAACACAUCUGGAAAAACCUGAGGUCUGAGCUGGUGGCAAGAGAGUGCCCAACCGAGCUACUUGCACUGGAUGCAUACCCUGGCUCCACAGUCGUGUGAGCAGACCAGACAGCGAUGAAAGUCACUGACAACAAAGAAGGAAAGUUGUUUUCACAGAUGGGACUACUC